rnacentral:lncRNA from 1 species
ACAUAUAUCUAAGACAUUCAUCACAACCAACCAAAUCGACUUGACAAAUAUCUAACACAUUCAUCACACUACACCAUCGUCGUAUAUCUAACCAUAACAUCUAUUUAUUACUUAACACAACCAUAAUCUAACAUUAACCAAAACAUUUAUUACCGACAAUUCAAUUCAGACCAGAAUCAAAAUCAAUUCAUUUCAGACAAGAAUCAAAAUCAACAUCAAUCUGAACACAAUAAAAAAGCACCAACAAAUAUAAACAAUAUUUUUAAAAAACUUUAAUCAAUUGAACAAAUCCGAGAGAAAUGUUUUAUUUGUAUUGCAAUUGUAGUCCUUUUGUUUGACGAACCUUGCUCAUGUCUCAUGAUCCAUCCAUCU